GAUGAACGCUGGCGGCGUGCUUAACACAUGCAAGUCGAACGAUGAAGCCCAGCUUGCUGGGUGGAUUAGUGGCGAACGGGUGAGUAACACGUGAGUAACCUGCCCUUAACUCUGGGAUAAGCCUUGGAAACUGGGUCUAAUACCGGAUAGGAGCGCCUACCGCAUGGUGGGUGUUGGAAAGAUUUAUCGGGUUUGGAUGGACUCGCGGCCUAUCAGCUUGUUGGUGGGGUAGUGGCUCACCAAGGCGACGACGGGUAGCCGGCCUGAGAGGGUGACCGGCCACACUGGGACUGAGACACGGCCCAGACUCCUACGGGAGGCAGCAGUGGGGAAUAUUGCACAAUGGGCGGAAGCCUGAUGCAGCGACGCCGCGUGAGGGAUGACGGCCUUCGGGUUGUAAACCUCUUUCGGUAGGGAAGAAGCGAAAGUGACGGUACCUGCAGAAGAAGCACCGGCUAACUACGUG
rnacentral:rRNA from 1 species